GCGUCUCGGCGGUCCGCGGCGUGGCAGUCAAAAGCAAGGGCGGCCGGGUGGGCGAGCGGCCCAGGUAAGGGAGGGCGAGCUGGGACCGUCUGCGGGCAGGCUGUGUUUUCGGGCGGCGUCCGAGCGCGUGCCUCUGGUUUUGCGGGUGCCGCAGACGAGUCGGCAGGGGCGAAGCCGCACGCCGGCCGGCAGCCGAGAAGGUGAGGCGGCGGUGGGCGUUGCGGAGCCCGGUAUUGCCCGGUGUCUCGCUUCAUCUUUUCCUUCUCGCUUUGCAGGCGCUUUGUGGGCCCUCUGGACCGGGAGGAGCAUUUGCGGCGUCACCAGCGCUGAGGGUUUGUGACCGCGCCAGCGGCAGGACACGCCGACCGGACCGCCCUGGAGCUCAGCAGGAGGCGCUGAAGAGGAACCCGGCGACGCGGGAAGACGGCCGUUGGCGCACGUGGCGUUUUCCUCUGCCGAAGAUGGGUUUGGUCCCUCGGCCCUCUGAAAGCUAAGUGGAGGCGCGAGGGCU